rnacentral:rRNA from 1 species
UGGGGAAUAUUGGACAAUGGGCGAAAGCCUGAUCCAGCCAUGCCGCGUGCAGGAUGACGGUCCUAUGGAUUGUAAACUGCUUUUUGUACAGGAAGAAACAGUUCUACGUGUAGAACCUUGACGGUACUGUAAGAAUAAGGAUCGGCUAACUCCGUGCCAGCAGCCGCGGUAAUACGGAGGAUCCAAGCGUUAUCCGGAAUCAUUGGGUUUAAAGGGUCCGUAGGCGGUUAGAUAAGUCAGUGGUGAAAGCCCAUCGCUCAACGGUGGAACGGCCAUUGAUACUGUCUGACUUGAAUUAUUAGGAAGUAACUAGAAUAUGUAGUGUAGCGGUGAAAUGCUUAGAGAUUACAUGGAAUACCAAUUGCGAAGGCAGGUUACUACUAAUGGAUUGACGCUGAUGGACGAAAGCGUGGGUAGCGAACAGGAUUAGAUACCCCCGUAGUCCCUGAGCGGGCUGGCAAGGCGCAU